rnacentral:misc_RNA from 1 species
GGAGUAAAAGUCGUAACAAGGUUUCCGUAGGUGAACCUGCGGAAGGAUCAUUAUCGUACAAAAUGUGAGGGGCAUGCGAGGGCUGUCGCUGACUCAAAAGUCGUGCACGCCCGAGUGUGUCCUCUUGCAUAAUAAUCCAUCUCACCCUUUGUGCAUCACCGCGUGGGCACCCUUCGGGAUCAUCUCGGAGGGGGGCUCGCGUUUUCACACAAACCCCCCUUUUAAAAGUGUAGAAUGACCACAUUUAUGCAAUCAAUACAACUUUCAACAACGGAUCUCUUGGCUCUC